GUCAAAUCACGAUGAAAGCGCCGUUUUUCGUUCGAUCACCAAAGUUAAGCACCGUUGGACCUGGUUAGUACUUAGAUGGGGGCCCGCUUGGGAACACCGGUUG